UACGGAGGGUGCCAGCGUUAUCCGGAUUCACUGGGUUUAAAGGGUGCGUAGGUGGAUUGGUAAGUCAGUGGUGAAAUCUCCGGGCUUAACCCGGAAACUGCCAUUGAUACUAUCAGUCUUGAAUACCGUGGAGGUCAGUAGAAUAUGUCAUGUAGCGGUGAAAUGCGUAGAUAUGACAUAGAAUACCAAUUGCGAAGGCAGCUGGCUGGACGAGCAUUGACACUGAGGCACGAAAGCGUGGGGAUCAAACAGG
rnacentral:rRNA from 1 species